rnacentral:rRNA from 1 species
CCCUUAGAUGUUCUGGGCUGCACGCGCGCUACACUGAUGCACUCAACGAGUUUACGACCUUGCCCGAUAGGGUUGGGUAAUCUUUUUAAAAUGCAUCGUGAUGGGGAUAGAUUAUUGCAAUUAUUAAUCUUCAACGAGGAAUUCCUAGUAAGCGCGAGUCAUCAGCUCGUGCUGAUUACGUCCCUGCCCUUUGUACACACCGCCCGUCGCUCCUACCGAUUGAGUGCUCAGGUGAAUAAUUCGGACUGCAGCAAUGUUUGGAUCCCGAACGUUGCAGCGGUAAGUUUAGUGAACCUUAUCACUUAGAGGAAGGAGAAGUCGUAACA